CGAAAAUUUUAAUAUUUUGUCAUAUAAUUUUGAUUACAAUACUUUUUUUUUAAAUUUUAAAAUUUAUUUUUAUCAAUCAAGAGGACAAUCUAAAGGAGAAAAUCAUUAGCUUUUAAGCAAAAAAAUAGAGCAAGAGAAAGCAAAGUAUCUAGUUCAACAAAAACCUUACAAUAACUAAUUUUGAACAACAGUACUUUAGACCACAAUAAUAUAAUAAUAAUAAAUUUUCUGUAAAAAUUAUUAUUCCCCUUUCCUUGGGCAAUCAAAUCUGGGGACAAGCGCUGCUCCAACCAAGCUAAUCUUAAUCUCUAGUCCUUCAUUCCUCCUCCUCUUCCUCUUCUUUUUCUCAGGGAAACUGGAAGUGGUGGGAUGCUCUGUUCAUGCCUG
rnacentral:misc_RNA from 1 species